rnacentral:piRNA from 1 species
UGGUCACAAAUUACAGUCUUCUCUCCUGUA